ACGAAAUGCGAAGAACUCAAUGUCGGUGACGCACCAGGUUCAUGCGUCCGUCCAUGCUCAGUAAGCGAAUCUCAAAAUCCAGCUCAGGAAUUCUACCAUAACUAAUCAAAGUUCAAUACAUCUUCGUGCUUGCACAAAAUCAAAGAAGGCGAGAUCGAUAUGAAAUUAUUGAAUUUACCAAUUCAAAGUUUCAGGUCGUUGGAAAAUGGUUGAGAAAAGAUGAAGAUGAAUUCAGUUAGGUUGGUUCUAUUGAGAGGGUGAUUGGAUUGAGAUAAGUGAGGGUUGGCCUCUUUGGUCACCUCUGUGAGUUAUGAUAAAAAGUGUUUUCAUUUCCCAGUUGGAGUUUGUUGAGGCGGUUAGAGGUUGAAGAGGUUGUUACAGUUUUUUUGAAUUCUGUUAGGGGAUUGGAGAGAUUUGAGAGGAGGUUCUAUUAGUUAGUUACAUUGCAGGGUAGCUUGGAAUGAUCGAUGGACAGGGUCGUGGGAUUCAGAUUUAAUGGCUGCCUUGGGAUUGCUUUGGGAUUAAGUUUGGAACGACAUAUGGUUCUUUUACCAUGGAAUGGACUUGGAAUUUGUUGGAAUUGGAUUUUCAUAAGGGAGAUUGAUUGAAGAAUGGAUGAAAUUGUGUGUACAGUGUGUAGGAGAAGAGCG